rnacentral:rRNA from 1 species
CCUACGGGUGGCAGCAGUGAGGAAUAUUGGUCAAUGGACGGAAGUCUGAACCAGCCAUGCCGCGUGCAGGAAGACGGCUCUAUGAGUUGUAAACUGCUUUUGUACAAGGGUAAACCUGAACACGUGUAUUCAGCUGAGAGAACUGUAAGAAUAAGGAACGGCUAACUACGGGCCAGCAGCCGCGGUAAUACGGAGGAUCCAAGCGUUAUCCGGAUUUAUUGGGUUUAAAGGGUGUGUAGGAGGAUUGAUAAGUUAGAGGUGAAAUGUCCGGGCUUAACUCGGGAACUGCCUCUAAUACUGUUGAUCUAGAGAGUAGAUGCGGUAGGCGGAAUGUAUGGUGUAGCGGUGAAAUGCUUAGAGAUCAUACAGAACACCGAUUGCGAAGGCAGAUUACCAAUCUAUAACUGACGUUGAGGCACGAAAGCGUGGGGAGCAAACAGGAUUAGAUACCCUAGUAGUC